rnacentral:rRNA from 1 species
CACGUAGGGUGCGAGCGUUGUCCGGAAUUAUUGGGCGUAAAGAGCUCGUAGGCGGUUUGUUGCGUCGGCUGUGAAAUCCCGAGGCUCAACCUCGGGUCUGCAGUCGAUACGAGCAAACUAGAGUGUUGCAGGGGAGACUGGAAUUCCUGGUGUAGCGGUGAAAUGCGCAGAUAUCAGGAGGAACACCGGUGGCGAAGGCGGGGUCUCUGGGGCAACAACUGACGCUGGAGGAGCGAAAGCGUGGGGAGCGAACAGG